rnacentral:rRNA from 1 species
GACGAACGCUGGCGGCGUGCUUAACACAUGCAAGUCGAACGGAAAGGCCCUGCUUUUGUGGGGUGCUCGAGUGGCGAACGGGUGAGUAACACGUGAGUAACCUGCCCUUGACUUUGGGAUAACUUCAGGAAACUGGGGCUAAUACCGGAUAGGGCUCCUUCUGCAUGGUGGGGGGUGGAAAGUUUCGGCGGUUGGGGAUGGACUCGCGGCUUAUCAGCUUGUUGGUGGGGUAGUGGCUUACCAAGGCUUUGACGGGUAGCCGGCCUGAGAGGGUGACCGGCCACAUUGGGACUGAGAUACGGCCCAGACUCCUACGGGAGGCAGCAGUGGGGAAUAUUGCACAAUGGGCGGAAGCCUGAUGCAGCAACGCCGCGUGCGGGAUGACGGCCUUCGGGUUGUAAACCGCUUUCGCCUGUGACGAAGCGUGAGUGACGGUAAUGGGUAAAGAAGCACCGGCUAACUACGUG